GUAAGUAUGUGGUGAAGUCUCCCACGGCAAGGUCGAACGGUCAGAGAGAGUACGACACCGACCUGAACCGGUUCGGCCCUCCGGAGGCAGCGUGCGAUAUGUGACUAUGGCGAAGCUAAUCAGCCAUGCGCGUGUGGUGAGGGUCAUGGAUUGUAAUGCAUUUCAGUGGAAGGAAAAGCAAUAUCUAAUACAUGCGUUGGACGUACAACAGAAUCAGCACAGCUCAGUCUGUUCCAGCAGCCGCAGUAUAGUAAAGGGUCGAGCGCUAAUCCGAAAUUACUGGACGUAAAGCGCGCGUAGGUGGUUCUUAUAAGUAGAAUAUGAAAUCGCCGGGCUCCACCUGGGAACUGCAUCUAAAUCUGGCGAGCUAGAGUAGGACAGAGGGAGAGUGGUAUCUCAUGUGUAGCGGUGAAAUGCGUAGAUAUAGGAAGGAACACCAGUGGCGAAGGCGAACCCCGCGGGCUCAUACUGACACUGAGGUGCGAAAGCGUGGGGAGCAAACAGGAUUAGAUACCGAGGUAGUCCACGCCGUAAACGAUGUCGACUAGCCGUUGGGAUCCUUGAGAUCUUAGUGGGGCAGCUAACGCAUUAAGUGGACCGCCUGGGGAGUACGGCCGCAAGGUUAAAACUCAAAUGAAUUGACGGGGGCCCGCACAACCGGUGGAGCAUGUGGUUUAAUUUGAAGCAACGCGAAGAGCCUUACCAGGCCUUGCCAUGCAAUGUACUUUCCAGAGAUGGAUUGGUGCCUUGGGGAACUGUGACCCAGGUCCCGCAUGGCUGUUGUCAGUUGUUGUCUUGAGAUGUGGGGUUAAGUCCCGUAACGAGCGCAACCCUUGUCCUUAGUUACCAGCACGUUAGGGUGGGCACUCUAAGGAGACUGCCGGUGACAAACCGGAGGAAGGUGGGGAUGACGUCAAGUCAUCAUGGCCCUUACGGCCUGGGCUACACACGUGAUACAAUGGUCGGUACAAAGGGUCGCCAACCCGCGAGGUGGAGCUAAUCCCAUAAAACCGAUCGUAGUCCGGAUCGCAGUCUGCAACUCGACUGCGUGAAGUCGGAAUCGCUAGUAAUCGCGAAUCAGAAUGUCGCGGUGAAUACGUUCCCGGGCCUUGUACACACCGCCCGUCACACCAUGGGAGUGGGUUGCACCAGAAGUAGGUAGUCUAACCUUCGGGAGGGCGGUACCACGGAGAUAAAAGG
rnacentral:rRNA from 1 species